rnacentral:rRNA from 1 species
UACAGAGGGUGCGAGCGUUAAUCGGAAUUACUGGGCGUAAAGCGCGCGUAGGUGGUUUUGUAAGUUGGGUGUGAAAGCCCCGGGCUCAACCUGGGAACUGCAUCCAAGACUGUGAGACUAGAGUAUGGAAGAGGGUCGCAGAAUUCCCGGUGUAGAGGUGAAAUUCGUAGAUAUCGGGAGGAAUACCAGUGGCGAAGGCGGCGACCUGGGCCAAUACUGACGCUGAGGUGCGAAAGCGUGGGGAGCAAACAGG